rnacentral:rRNA from 1 species
UUAACCGAAUAGGGGAGCCGGAGGGAAACCGAGUCUUAACCGGGCGUUAAGUUGCAGGGUAUAGACCCGAAACCCGGUGAUCUAGCCAUGGGCAGGUUGAAGGUUGGGUAACACUAACUGGAGGACCGAACCGACUAAUGUUGAAAAAUUAGCGGAUGACCUGUGGCUGGGGGUGAAAGGCCAAUCAAACCGGGAGAUAGCUGGUUCUCCCCGAAAGCUAUUUAGGUAGCGCCUCGUGAACUCAUCUCCGGGGGUAGAGCA